rnacentral:rRNA from 1 species
UACGGAGAGUGCAAACGUUGUUCGGAAUCAUUGGGCGUAAAGGGCACGCAGGCUGUGCGUCAGGUCGGAUGUGAAAUCCCGGGGCUCAACCCCGGAAUUGCGUUCGAAACCGGCGUGCUGGAAUCUUGGAGAGGGAAGUGGAAUUUCUAGUGUAGGGGUGAAAUCCGUAGAUAUUAGAAAGAACACCGGUGGCGAAGGCG